GCGCCAGACUCCUACGGGAGGCAGCAGUGGGGAAUAUUGCACAAUGGGGGAAACCCUGAUGCAGCGACGCCGCGUGAGUGAAGAAGUAUUUCGGUAUGUAAAGCUCUAUCAGCAGGGAAGAAAAUGACGGUACCUGACUAAGAAGCCCCGGCUAACUACGUGCCAGCAGCCGCGGUAAUACGUAGGGAGCGAGCGUUGUCCGGAAUUACUGGGUGUAAAGGGAGCGUAGGCGGGCUUGUAAGUUGAAUGUCUAAUCCACCGGCUCAACCGGUGAUCGCGUUCAAAACUGCAGGCCUUGAGUGAAGUAGAGGCAGGCGGAAUUCCUAGUGUAGCGGUGAAAUGCGUAGAUAUUAGGAGGAACACCAGUGGCGAAGGCGGCCUGCUGGACGACAACUGACGGUGAGGCGCGAAAGCGUGGGGAGCAAACAGGAUUAGAUACCCUAGUA
rnacentral:rRNA from 1 species